rnacentral:tRNA from 1 species
GCGGGGGUGGCAGAGUGGUCUAAUGCGCACGCCUGGAAAGCGUGUUUCCUCACGGAAGCGCGAGUUCGAAUCUCGUCCCCCGCG